GCUUUGACAAAAACGGGAAAAGGACGUGAGCGAGGAUCGCCGCCGAUGGAAGGCGACAGGAAUCCGCCCAGAAACUCUUCCAAGGACGACACACUGUCUUGAAAUGGGCGACUCCCAGUUGGAAAAGGCCUUUUUUUUUUCUUCCUUUCCAAAUCGAGUGUCUGUGUGAAAUUCCCCAAUUUUUACGAUAGAUAGUUUCACCCUGCGGGCCAUUCAUGGCGAUCGCUUUCGAGUGUAAUAUCCUGUUUUACGUCCAUCUGUUCUCGUUUGUGUUGUCAAACACGGGCCGUAUCUAUUUUCAUAACAGCACAUAUAUACCAUAAGCCAUUUGAAAGCCCAUCCGAGUAUAUAUACAUAUAGUGGUGUGCUCUAUACGCAUCUGUUUUUUGUUUUCAAUAAAAAUCCAAAAGUCUUAUGGCGGGAUCUAUCGGACUGUUGCGUGAUGGAGCGGCUAAAUCCCAUCAGCGCGUCCAUAAAUCACCGAUUCAAAUUGCUGCUGCUGCUGCGGUCAAGGCGCUAUAUAUUAUAUACUUUUAUUUCAGGAAUAAAAAAGAGAGGUAGCCCUGCGAAUCAAUCAAUCGUCAUAUCCGUCCGACACAUUGUUGUAUACAUUCAAUAAUGCGUAUUAUAUUCAGCAUUUCCCGCCGCCGGGCUCUUGAUAGUAGACAUGUGUCACACCUGCGAUUCAUCUUCCCUAUGUAUCUAUUUCCCUCUGUAUGGCCGCCGUUAUUUUCUUUUCAUGAUGAAAUCCACAAAUGAAUUCGACGCAGUCGUCCAGGAAAACUGUUGGAAACAAAAAAUAUAAUUCGACAAAAAAACAACUCGCCGCUGCUGUGUUGACGUCACGAACCAGGAUGUAUAAGUUGCCGCUGCGCUGCCACUGGAUUGGUGAUCCACGGCCAGAAUGGGCGGUUCCAUAUAUACCCUGGUCUCUUUUUUAUUUUAUUUUUUGUCUCGGAGAAGAAAAAAAAAAGUUCCGAUAUAGCUGCUAUAUGCGUGUAUGUGUGUGUGCGUGCGUGCUGUGGGUAUAUACAAAACGCGCAACUGAUGGUCUCGGCUUGUUCAGUUCUCUUCCAACAGCACCACGGGAGUCGACAGUGCUUUUUAACCGGCCCCCGACGACGACUAUUUCUUCUUUUCCUUUAAGGAAACUGAUUUUCAACAGACAAUAAUCGUCUUUUCUUUUUCGGGGGGGAUUCCAGCAGACGGAAAAGGUGAAAACUCAGCAGAUUUCUUCGUUGGAGCAAUUAACUUUGACAAAACAAGUCGGCAGACGACGGAAUUUUGUAAUUUGUGGGAAGGCGAAGAAUGUCCAACAAGUACUUCCCCAGUUCGUCACCCGACGAAAUGAACGAGAAGCCGAAAAUGUCGGCCGACCAGGAAUCCGCCCUGGAUAUGCACUUCAACCGGAACAAGACGAUGCACGCAUCCGACGUGGCCAUUCUCUCAGCCGAAACCGGAUUGUCGGAAGAACAAGUGCAGCAAUGGUUCCUGUUCAGAUUGGCGUCGUGGCGCAAGGAGCAGGGACUGGGACCUUUGGUCGGACGUUUAUACGAAUAAAUGGAGGCAAUUAAUUUUUGGACGACGCCACUAAUCAAAUAUGACCAUCAUACGCAUCGCGCAAACAAAAGUCAACCGAGAGCAGAAAUAAUACUACAACAACCCGCGGUUACCCAACACACACACACCACAGCAGUGACCUCUAUAUAUAUGCACAUACAUAUAACAUCAACUCCAAAGUCUAUAUAAACCCAAAUGAAAAUUCAAUUAUAUUACGACACCCGGAAAAUCCGGAUCGAAACUUCUUCAUCAGCUCCUUUUUAAAAAUUCCGAAACCUCAAUCGAACAUGUCUGCUGUGUGGGUGUUAUUGAAAUUUAACCAAAGAGACUGUCCCACACACAAUUAUAUACGAGAUCCCCCCCCCCUCACCUUACCAAACACGAAAAAACAAAAACUAUUCGCACAAUUUUAUUCGUUUGAAAACAAACAAAAACAAAUACACGGUUUCCAAAAUGGUGAACAUUUUUUCUGAAU